rnacentral:pre_miRNA from 1 species
AGUGGAAUUGCUGGGCAGUAUGAUAAUUCUAUGUUUAAUUUAUUGAGGAAUUGCCAAACUACUUUCCAAAGUGGCUGUACCAUUUUACAAUCCCACCAGCAAU